GCCGCAAGUCGUAAAAAUCAGUACAUAAGAUGACAUGCCUUUCUUUGAACUACCGCUUUUAAGACCAAGUUCAGCAUGUUGGUUCUUAUUUAUUUAGCAUAUUCUCUUCCUGAAUAUGCCUUUAAGUGUCCACUGGAGGCUAACCAAUCACCAGAACAACCACCCAUCGUACCGUCUUAGAGAAGGUUGAAGAUGUAGGCGUAAAAAGCAAAACUAAUUUCAUAUGUUUAAAAACAUGAGGACAAUUUAAAGAACACAACAAUACAACUGAACGAAAAUUCAAA
rnacentral:lncRNA from 1 species